UGACAGACAAGAAAAAGGAGGAGGCAGUGUAGCCAUCUGUAUACGGAAAUAUACUAAGUACUUUGUUCCACCGGGGUUGAAAACAAAAAUUAUUGAAACGAUUACCUUGAAGAUAGAAGAAGCAGAAAUAUUUAUUACAGCUGCGUAUUUUCUUGGCACGAGAAUGAACUCCUAUAAGUAUGGGCUCUUUGAGGACGAUUUGAAGUUUAUUUUUAGCGGAAUAAAUCUCUUAUAUGCGGGGACUUCAACUCAAAACACCGUCAGUGGAGUUGUUACCGCGCAAAUAAGGCAGACAAACCUACCUACUCCCCGUCUAGGGGCUUCGAUUCUACUUUUGAUUUAAUUAUCAACAAAGGAAUCCACAACUGGAAAUUUUAUCCAAAACGCGUAAGUUCAACUUCAACGGAACGAAUUAGUUAAGUUUCAGUCUUCAGACCUUCGAUCAGUUAAUCUCAAUGAUAUUACAUAUUCCAGACAAAUUGCUGACAUGGUAGACAAAUUUUAAUCAAAACUCGGAUGGGCUAUCAACCGCUCUACAACGAAAGUUGUUAUAGAGUCUCAUAAGUCAGAUGACAUUGACAAUCAUAUUAAAUUUCUUAUUUGAAUAAGUAGUAAAUAUAAACAGAUAUGGUAAAGAAACAGGAUACCCAAAGCGAAAUAUAUAGCUAGCUAUAUAGUAGCUUGUCCAGAGUAA